CGCCACAGGGUCUGGGCUGCGAGAGCUUCUGGCGGAGCCAGGCACCUGGCCCCGAGCUCCUGGCCCCCCGCCGCGGACCGCAGCCCACUCCGGGAGGUCUGGAGCGGGGUCAGCGACUCUGAGUGGCUCCAGGAUCUGGGACAGAAGAAAGCAGAUCAGCCCAGGUGAGAGGAGGACAUCGGGACGCCCAGUUCCACCAUGAACUUUGAAGCAGCCAGGUCAGUUUUGAAGUUCAUGGUGACAGGGCAAAAAGAGUACGAGGCCACGUGGAAAGCCGAAGUACACAGGCGGGAUUCCAAGCUGGGAUCCGGCCUGGAUCUGCUUUUCAGGACGCCAUUGCUGCUGACCAGUCUUCUCACCGGGCCUAUGUGUCUGGGGAGCCCCAGGGCAUACAAGCCCAGGGUGAGGUCUGCCUCCUCAAUGAAGCCUGUUCCACCUGCCCAUGCUCCCAGCAAGCUUGUCCUCUGAACCUCUCCAGGGGCUUCUGGAUUUACCCCUCAUCUAGCCUUUAACAUAGACGAGGGUGCAAAGGGACAGGGCAGCAAUCUGUCCUCAGGAUUGGGAAGUAAAACAAAGAUGCAGCUAUAUUGUUGCAAAUAUCAAAUGACAAAAUACUGGUGAGAACUUUCUGAAUAAUCGAAUACCUAAAUGGGGACAUCUAUAAUAGUGUCAACAAUAAAA